rnacentral:rRNA from 1 species
ACGACGGACUGCGCAUGGACGAAGUCUGACGGAGCACGCCGCGUGAGUGAAGAAGGUCUUCGGAUCGUAAAACUCUGUUAUCAGGGAAGAACAAGUACCAUUUAACUGAUGGUACCUUGACGGUACCUGACCAGAAAGCCACGGCUAACUACGUGCCAGCAGCCGCGGUAAUACGUAGGUGGCAAGCGUUGUCCGGAAUUAUUGGGCGUAAAGCGCGCGCAGGCGGUUCUUUAAGUCUGAUGUGAAAUCUCGCGGCUCAACCGUGAGCGGUCAUUGGAAACUGGAGAACUUGAGUGCAGAAGAGAAGAGCGGAAUUCCACGUGUAGCGGUGAAAUGCGUAGAGAUGUGGAGGAACACCAGUGGCGAAGGCGGCUCUUUGGUCUGUAACUGACGCUGAGGCGCGAAAGCGUGGGGAGCGAACAGGAUUAGAUACCCUGGUAGUCCACGCCGUAAACGAUGAGUGCUAAGUGUUAGAGGGUUUCCGCCCUUUAGUGCUGCAGCAAACGCAUUAAGCACUCCGCCUGGGGAGUACGGCCGCAAGGCUGAAACUCAAAGGAAUUGACGGGGGCCCGCACAAGCGGUGGAGCAUGUGGUUUAAUUCGAAGCAACGCGAAGAACCUUACCAGGUCUUGACAUCCUUAUGACCUCCCUAGAGAUAGGGAUUUCCCUUCGGGGACAUAAGUGACAGGUGGUGCAUGGUUGUCGUCAGCUCGUGUCGUGAGAUGUUGGGUUAAGUCCCGCAACGAGCGCAACCCUUGAAAUUAGUUGCCAUCAUUCAGUUGGGCACUCUAAUUUGACUGCCGGUGACAAACCGGAGGAAGGUGGGGAUGACGUCAAAUCAUCAUGCCCCUUAUGACCUGGGCUACACACGUGCUACAAUGGAAUGGUACAGAGGGCUGCAAGACCGCGAGGUUUAGCCAAUCCCUUAAAACCAUUUCUC